GAUGAACGCUGGCGGCGUGCCUAAUACAUGCAAGUCGAGCGAAUGGAUUAAGAGCUUGUUCUUAUGAAGUUAGCGGCGGACGGGUGAGUAACACGUGGGUAACCUGCCCAUAAGACUGGGAUAAUUCCGGGAAACCGGGGCUAAUACCGGAUAACAUUCUGAACCGCAUGGUUCGAAAUUGAAAGGCGGCUUCGGCUGUCACUUAUGGAUGGACCCGCGUCGCAUUAGCUAGUUGGUGAGGUAACGGCUCACCAAGGCAACGAUGCGUAGCCGACCUGAGAGGGUGAUCGGCCACACUGGGACUGAGACACGGCCCAGACUCCUACGGGAGGCAGCAGUAGGGAAUCUUCCGCAAUGGACGAAAGUCUGACGGAGCAACGCCGCGUGAGUGAUGAAGGCUUUCGGGUCGUAAAACUCUGUUGUUAGGGAAGAACAAGUGCUAGUUGAAUAAGCUGGCACCUUGACGGUACCUAACCAGAAAGCCACGGCUAACUACGUGCCAGCCGCCGCAGUAA
rnacentral:rRNA from 1 species